AUUGAACGCUGGCGGCAUGCCUUACACAUGCAAGUCGAACGGCAGCACGGGAGCUUGCUCCUGGUGGCGAGUGGCGAACGGGUGAGUAAUACAUCGGAACGUACCCAGGAGUGGGGGAUAACGUAGCGAAAGUUACGCUAAUACCGCAUAUUCUGUGAGCAGGAAAGCGGGGGAUCGCAAGACCUCGCGCUCUUGGAGCGGCCGAUGUCGGAUUAGCUAGUUGGUGAGGUAAAAGCUCACAAGGCGACGAUCCGUAGCAGGUCUGAGAGGAUGAUCUGCCACACUGGGACUGAGACACGGCCCAGACUCCUACGGGAGGCAGCAGUGGGGAAUUUUGGACAAUGGGGGCAACCCUGAUCCAGCCAUGCCGCGUGAGUGAAGAAGGCCUUCGGGUUGUAAAGCUCUUUCGGCGGGGAAGAAAUGGCAACGGCUAAUAUCCGUUGUUGAUGACGGUACCCGCAUAAGAAGCACCGGCUAACUACGUGCCAGCAGCCGCAGUAACAC
rnacentral:rRNA from 1 species